rnacentral:rRNA from 1 species
UACGUAGGGUGCAAGCGUUGUCCGGAAUUAUUGGGCGUAAAGAGCUCGUAGGCGGCUUGUCACGUCGUCUGUGAAAACCCAUGGCUCAACCAUGGGCUUGCAGGCGAUACGGGCUAGCUAGAGUGUGGUAGGGGAGACUGGAAUUCCUGGUGUAGCGGUGAAAUGCGCAGAUAUCAGGAGGAACACCGGUGGCGAAGGCGGGUCUCUGGGCCAUUACUGACGCUGAGGAGCGAAAGCGUGGGGAGCAAACAGG